ensembl:misc_RNA Metazoa_SRP Metazoan signal recognition particle RNA
GCUAGGAGUGGUGAUAUAUUCCUGUAAUUCCAUCUACCAAGGAGUCUGAGGCUGGUGAAUCUCCUGAGCUAGGGGUUCUGAGCUACCAUGGGCUAUGCCAAUUGGAUGUCCACUCUAAGUGUAACAUUAAUAUGGUGAACCUCCAGGAGCAGGAUGUCACCUGGUUGCCUAAACAGGAAUAAACCAGCCCAGAUCACAAAUGUUGUAGAAGGUCCAAAUUCCCAUGUUGAUAAGAGUAGGAUAAAGCCCAUGAGUAGUCCCAGCCUAGGCAAGAUAGAGAGAAAUACACUUAA